AAUGGUCUUGUAAGCCAUAAAUGAAAGCCAUUUUCUAAGGGUA
rnacentral:tRNA from 1 species